rnacentral:lncRNA from 1 species
GCAGAAUGUUAGUCAGUUGGGAAAAACUCUGGCAUUUUCUCACGGAGUUCAACAGGCAUUUUCUUAUAGAGUUCAACAGGCAUUUUCAACGUGAUUUUGGAACUCCUCAUCAUACUACCUCUCCAAGAGAAAUAAAAUUUCUGUUUACACAGAGACUUUACAGGGUACAAGAAAGGUGAUUAUAAACAUUUACAUUUGUAGUUGGGGAUGAAAGAUUUGAACUGUGCCUACCAGAGGGUCCUGAUCUGAAAAGAGGGUGAUAAUAGAAUACAGUAUGAGACAUUUCUGUUGAUGGGUAAGAAUCAUCACUCUGAAACAAGGCUGCCUGAAUCUGGAUCCUGGCUCUACCGCUUUCCAGCAACAUUGUGAGGAUUCAGCAAGUCUAGAAUUAUAAUCCCUAAUAUUUAUUUUUUAAGUAAAGGAUGGGAUGUCUGCUAAUUUCAAGUCAGCACCAAACUGGUUCUGGAGGCUGUGAAGUCUGAGGUCAAUGGCCCACAUCUGGUGAAGGCCUGCUCGCUAGUGAGGACUCUCUGGAGAGUUCCAAAUUGGCACAUAGCAUCAUAUGGUCUGCUGGAGUUUGCUGGAGGUCUACUCCAGACACGAUUUGCCUGGGUAUCACCAGUGGAGGCUGCAGAACAGCAAAGACUUCUGCCUGGUCCUUUCUAUGGAAGCUUCAUCCCACAGGGGCACCCACCAGAUGCUAGCCAGAGCUCUCCUGCAUGAGGUUUCUCUCACAUCGACAUAGAAACUCUGCUGACAUUGAUGACUUGCCUGGUGGUGUGAUACAGAUGAUCAUUCAUGAAGGGUCUGAGCCCCUUGCUACUACACCCUGUUCAGGCCUGGAUUGCUGCAUGUAUUAUGACAAUGGAAAUUGAGUACCAAAGAAACAUCCUAGAGGCUUAACUGGGGACCACACAUAGUCCUUUUUGUCCCCAUGGGAUAUAAGUCACCAUAUGUCCUCUUGAUGAUCAGCAUCGAUUAUCCCUGACAGAGUGGUGACUCCUUUUAUUACCUUCUGGUUCUUUCACACAAGGAGCCAGGAAUGCCAAGGCAGCAGUCACAGUUUAUAAUUAAAUGUUAAUCUUGCUGAGUCCUCUGGCAUAAAUGUUCUCCAUUUGGAACUGAAGACCUCUGAACCUGCAAAUUCCACAGUUUUAGGGAUAAGAAUAUUUUAUAAGUGAGUGUCCGAGUUGAUGAGAAGAACUUCUUGGUUCCCAGAUUCAUCUCUUCUUGCUAUAGAAAUGCAGCAUUAUAUAAAUGUCUUUUAAUUCAAGGUAUAAAUGGUCUUGGAGAAUGACACGCUAAUCUAGUAAGUAUCACCUCUGAAUUGGUAUUUACGUUGUGUCUUUAAGAAGUUGUUUCAAUGCUCCCAGAGACCGGCAGCUUCUGAGGAGUGACCAGUCCUGCUCCUUGUUAUAAUGUAAAUCCUCUGAGACGACACAAUGUUGUAUGGAAUCCCAUACUGCUGGGUCAAACAUUCAUAAUAUUUCAAAUUGUGAGGGCUUAUGGAAUGACCUUGUUGCAGAAUUCCUGGGGCCUGAGUUAUGACUCUUCCUCUGGUUUUUUUUUAAACAAACUCCACUUGGCAUCCUUUUGCCAACACUAAUAUCUCCAAUACCAUAUGGCCUGCCAGAUCAUAUGUCCCCAGGUGGUAAUGUUUCAGGUAGACAGGUAUGAGCUAGCCAGGAGAAGGUUCUCCCUGCACCACCAGAAAUGUCAGGCAAUCAUCAGGUGAUGGUUUGGCAGUUAUAUUGCCUCUCAAAAAAUGGUAAUUUGGCAGCUGGCACCAGGGAGAGACAAUCUCCUGAUGGUCCACAGCUGUCACACUAAAGUGUUAAUUGAAUGCAGGUGCCAAGGGGAGGCAACUUCUUAAACAGAUAAAAACACUUGAGAUUGGUAAGCAGCUUCCAAUAAAAUCUCAGGAAUUGGGUGAGUGAGCGCAGGCAUGCAAAUUAAGAGACAAAAUGGCAGAGUAUGACCUUCUGGGGGCAUUCCACCAGAAAAGGGAAGAAAGCCUCAGAUGGGCAUGUGUACAACUUUCUAAACACACUGAGCAUGCUGCAUACUGCAUAUGUGGCCAGCCCUCCCUAUGGGAAGAAUCAUGGGAAAAAGGAACAAGACACUGGGAGUGGGCCAGCCUAUAAAGUCCCAGAAUCAAAGUUAAAUGCCACACUUAUCGUUCAAGUUGCCCACCUGGGUCUCUUCCACGUGUAUUUACUUUUCUUUCCUGUUGAAAAGCCUUUUUAAAUAAACUUCCACUCCUGCUCUGAAACUUUCCUUGGUGUCUUUUUCGGCCUUAUGCCGCUCAGUCGAAUUUUUUCUUCCGAGCAGGCAGGAAUUGAGGUUGCUGUAGACCCAUAUGGGUUCGCCCCCAUAACUCAAG